GGCCGGCUAGCUCAGUUGGUUAGAGCGUCGUGCUAAUACAGUCGGGAAUGACAUCCGAUGUACGCGAAGGUCCUGGGUUCGACCCCCAUGCUGGCCA